GGUUUCUAUUACUAUUACUAUUUAGUUUUGACCAAAUCCCAAAAAAAUGAUAGAAAUUUACCAAAAGAGGUAUACUGUUUUUGUUUUUGGAAGAACUGAAGAGAAAAGGCCUUACAAUCAUUGCUGAAACAGCAUAGACCAAACCGAUAAGCUUUCAACAUUCUCUGAUUACACGAAAGCGAUUCAAAGAAAGACAAUUUGAAACGACGGAUACCCAAAUCAAUUCAAUCAAAAUCAUCAACAUAGAAGAAGAAGAAGGAGGAGGUGUAAGUCUUUUUCUUCCAUUACACUCCCAUGGCCGACGAUUUCAUUAUCCUUAUCCUCCGUACAAGAUUGACUACUAACGAGCUUUCGAUCUGCCAGCCCUAGCAUUUAAUCCAACUGGGAUUUCAAUCUAUGAUGCAGUGUACUUGGGAGUAGAAGACGUGGUACGGUGGGAGAAAUGGAACAAUCGAAGAUAUGGUUGUUAGAAGGUAAUUAGAAUAUGACUUCUCAAUUGGCUGUUCUGUUUCAGCCCAUAAUAUGUUUGCGGUAAUGCUUGACUGAAUUUACCCCCAUUGUUUUAGCAGAAAGAGUGUGAGUGUUGAAUAUGGUGGUUGGGGUUGAUAAUUUAAGUCAUUUUUAGCUUGCCCACUUAAGAAAAUAACAUCUCUCAAACUUAUAGAUUAAGCUAUUUGAUCAUUGGGCCGUGUUCAAGCUUCUACCUCUAAGUUUUUGUAAUUCUACUUCUUCUCUUCUUUCAUGUUUUAUUUUAAAGUUCACUUUCUAGUUUAAUCCUCUUCCAUUGGAAUGUUCUGCAAAUCAUCUAAUCAAAUCCACAAAUUGGCAUCCAA